rnacentral:rRNA from 1 species
CCUACGGGAGGCAGCAGUGGGGGAUAUUGCACAAUGGGGGAAACCCUGAUGCAGCGACGCCGCGUGGGGGAAGAAGAGCCUCGGCGCGUAAAGCCCUGUCAGCAGGGAAGAAAAUGACGGUACCUGAAGAAGAAGCCCCGGCGAACUACGUGCCAGCAGCCGCGGGAAUACGUAGGGGGCAAGCGUUAUCCGGAGUUACUGGGUGUAAAGGGGGCGCAGACGGCGAUGCAAGCCAGGAGUGAAAGCCCGGGGCCCAACCCCGGGACUGCUCUUGGAACGGCGUGGCUCGAGUGCAGGAGGGGCAGGCGGACUUCCUGGUGUCGCGGUGACAUGCGUCGAUAUCCGGAGG